CACGUAGGGGGCGAGCGUUGUCCGGAUUUAUUGGGCGUAAAGAGCUCGUAGGCGGCUCGGUAAGUCGGGUGUGAAACCUCCAGGCUCAACCUGGAGACGCCACCUGAUACUGCUGUGGCUAGAGUCCGGUAGGGGAGUGUGGAACUCCUGGUGUAGCGGUGAAAUGCGCAGAUAUCAGGAAGAACACCGAUGGCGAAGGCAGGUCUCUGGGCAUUAACUGACGCUGAGGAGCGAAAGCAUGGGGAGCGAACAGG
rnacentral:rRNA from 1 species